rnacentral:lncRNA from 1 species
CUGGAACUAGGGAAAUCUCCAGAGACCUACAAGGAUGACACGAUCUGACAGUCCGGGCAGUGGAAGAGAGGAUAGCCUAGAAGCCCUUCCCCUAGAAAAAGAUUGAUGACUACUCGCUAUGCUAUCCUAGAGCCCUCAUCUAGUGGCUGAUGGAAGCAGAGACAGACAUCCACAGAAAUACACUGAGCUGAAAUCUGGAACCUAGUGGAAGAGAGGGAGGAAUGAAGAUCGAAGGGGUUUCAGUCCUUGGAUACUGUGGCUUUGGAGAGAAAGAAGUGACCUUUGAAGCCUUUGCCUGUGGGGCUCACUGCAGAAUUGUGUCCGAUUACAGAGUCCUACACAACUGGGAGACACGAAGUAGAUGCUGAGUGACAAGAAGUCACUUCAGGUGUGGCACCGCGGCUCUGGCAGCAGAUACAAGAGAAUAACGCUCUGGAGAGGAGACUUUCUUCAGGACCUUCUCAUAAUGAGUUUCCAUGCAUAAGAAGAUGGUAUAUGCUGUUAAACAAGCCAAGCAGACUUCAAGAUAUGACUGGCCCCCAAGCUUCUCUGCUUCUGCGUAAAGAUUAUGUAGAGUUCGAACUGUUUCUUCAAACUGCUGUCUAUCAAUCCUGUCCUCCAGCUCGCGGGGAACUUGGUCUGGAACUGGCAGCGUGUGCUGCUGCUGUAGUCUCGCUGAAUGAACACCUUCCCGGACACCGGUGCCUGCUGUGGCCUCAUGGCAAGGACAGGACCCACCGCACCGCCUCCUUGGCCCUCCAGCAGCUGUCGCCUAUCUUCUAACUCUUAGUUCCAUCAUUGUGAAAUAGAAAGUUUGUUUGGAUCCUAAUGUUGUAUGUUUCUUUCUUUAAGUAUACAUGAUACUGUGAGGAUCCUCAAGAUUAUCUUUCUAUGAAUCUGUUUCAUCCAGUACGUCAGAUGUGUAGUAACAUGCAUUAAAU